rnacentral:rRNA from 1 species
GUACACGCUGUGACUAGCAUAUCAAUAAGCGGAGGAAAAGAAACUAACAAGGAUUCCCUCAGUAACGGCGAGUGAAGCGGGAAGAGCUCAAAUUUGAAAUCUUAAAGGGUUUCCCUUUACGAAUUGUAGUUUAAAGAAGUGUUUUCUGUUGAGGUUUUGGUAAAAGUUCUUUGGAAUAGGACAUCAUAGAGGGUGAGAAUCCCGUAUUUGACCUUUACUUUCAACUUUGUGAUACACUUUCAAAGAGUCGGAUUGUUUGGGAAUGCAGUCCAAAAUGGGUGGUAAAUUUCAUCUAAAGCUAAAUAUUGGCGAGAGACCGAUAGCGAACAAGUACCGUGAGGGAAAGAUGAAAAGAACUUUGAAAAGAGAGUUUAACAGUACGUGAAAUUGUCAAAAGGGAAGCGUUUGACACCAGUGUUGUUUUUCUGAAAAUCAAUUAAAGAACUGUUUAUGCUAAGCUGUUUAGACUUUAUCAGCUAUCUGUUUAGUUUUGAGCUUUUCUUUAAUGCACUUUUCAGUUAACAAGUCAACAUCAAUUUCUUUUGCUGUAAAAAAGCUUGAGGAAGGUGGCUUGAGAUUCGUCUUAAGUGUUUAUAGCCUCUUGCCUCUGCAGUCGGAGAGACUGAGGUCUGCAGCGUAGACUCUUCGGGGUUAAAUAGCAUUUGUGCUAAGUUAUAGCAUUUUAUAGACAACUUGUUGACUAUGAUUUGUCUUGUAGCUUACUCGCUUAUGUUAUUUUACCUACGCUUAGGAUGUUGACGCAUGAGAUAUACGC